rnacentral:rRNA from 1 species
CACGUAGGGGGCAAGCGUUGUCCGGAUUUAUUGGGCGUAAAGAGCUCGUAGGUGGUUCGGUAAGUCGGGUGUUAAACCCCCAGGCUCAACCUGGGGACGCCACUCGAUACUGCUGUGACUAGAGUCCGGUAGGGGAGCGUGGAAUUCCUGGUGUAGCGGUGAAAUGCGUAGAUAUCACUCGGAAGGCCAAAGGCGAAGGCAGGUUACUGGUACGCAACUGACGCUGAGGCACGAAAGCGUGGGGAGCAAACAGG